GAUGUCAACGAAUGCGCAACUGUCCCUUGUAAGAACGGAGCCUCGUGUAACAAUCUCCUCAACGCGUAUUCCUGCACGUGCGUACCGGGAUGGCGGGGAACAAACUGUGAACAAGAUAUCAACGAAUGCGCUAUCGUCCCAUGUAGAAACAACGCCACGUGCAACAACCUUCUGAACGCGUACUCGUGCACUUGCGCACCGGGCUGGCAGGGAACAAACUGUGACCAGGAUAUCAACGAAUGCGCACCCGCCCCAUGUAAAAACAACGCCCCAUGCAAAAACCUUCUGAACGCGUACUCGUGCACUUGCUCACCGGGCUGGCAGGGAACGAACUGUGACCAGGGUAU